AUUGAACGCUGGCGGCAUGCCUUACACAUGCAAGUCGAACGGUAACAGGUCUUCGGAUGCUGACGAGUGGCGAACGGGUGAGUAAUACAUCGGAACGUGCCUAGUAGUGGGGGAUAACUACUCGAAAGAGUGGCUAAUACCGCAUGAGAUCUACGGAUGAAAGCAGGGGAUCGCAAGACCUUGUGCUACUAGAGCGGCCGAUGGCAGAUUAGGUAGUUGGUGGGAUAAAAGCUUACCAAGCCGACGAUCUGUAGCUGGUCUGAGAGGACGAUCAGCCACACUGGGACUGGGACACGGCCCAGACUCCUACGGGAGGCAGCAGUGGGGAAUUUUGGACAGUGGGCGCAAGCCUGAUCCAGCAAUGCCGCGUGCAGGAUGAAGGCCUUCGGGUUGUAAACUGCUUUUGUACGGAACGAAAAGCCCUGGGUUAAUACCCUGGGGUCAUGACGGUACCGUAAGAAUAAGCUCCGGCUAACUACGUGCCAGCCGCCGCCGUAAUAC
rnacentral:rRNA from 1 species